rnacentral:ncRNA from 1 species
CUCCCUCCUAAUGACAGGCCGAAAGGCCGGGCGGCGUCCGCGCCGCAGCAGACAGGAUAUCACCGCGUCUGUGGGACCCAU